rnacentral:rRNA from 1 species
AGUGUAGGAAGGGUGAGUAAUGUCUGGGCAACUGCCUGAUGGAAGGCGAUAAGUAAUGGGAACGGUAGCUAAUCCCGCAUACCAUCGGAUGUCCCCAGAUGGGAUUAGCUAGUAGGUGGGGUAAAGGCUCACCUAGGCGACGAACCCUAGCUGGUCUGAGAGGAUGAGCAUCCACAUGGGAACUGAGACACGGUCCAGACUCCUACGGGAGGCAGCAGGGGGGAAUAUUGCACAAUUGGCGCAAGCCUGAGUCAGCAAUGCCGCGGGUAGGAAGAAGUCAUGAGGGGUGUAAAGUACGUUCAGAUGGGAGGCGUUACCCGCAGAAGAAGCACCGGCUAACUCCGUGCCAGCAGCCGCGGUAAUAC